CCUACGGGAGGCAGCAGUGGGGAAUAUUGCACAAUGGGGGAAACCCUGAUGCAGCAACGCCGCGUGAAGGAAGACGGCUUUCGGGUUGUAAACCUCUAUUCUUAGAGAAGAAUAAUGACGGUAGCUGACGAUCAAGCCUCGGCUAACUACGUGCCAGCAGCCGCGGUAAUACGUAGGGGGCAAGCGUUGUCCGGAAUUACUGGGUGUAAAGGGAGCGUAGGCGGUUGUGUAAGUCAGAUGUGAAAACUCAGGGCUCAACUGUGGGAUUGCAUUUGAAACUGUGUUUCUUGAGUGCAGUAGAGGUAGGCGGAAUUCGUAGUGUAGCGGUGAAAUGCGUAGAUAUUAGGAGGAACACCGGUGGCGAAGGCGGAUUACUGGGCUGUAACUGACGCUGAGGCUCGAAAGUGUGGGGAGCAAACAGGAUUAGAUACCCGUGUAGUC
rnacentral:rRNA from 1 species